rnacentral:lncRNA from 10 species
UUCUAAGAGUCUUAUUAAGUUUCAGAACAUUCAUAUCAAAAACACACUCAUGAAUGCAACUGAAAGAAGAUCUAGCAUCACUCAUCAUUUGACAGUGUUCCCUAUAAAAUUUACCAAAUAAGCCUAAUCAUUUAAUAUCUCUACAAGAUGAGAAGUAUAUCCUUUGAGACUCUCCAGGGGCUCAACUGGAAAAUUCCAAAGUGAAAUCUAGGUCAAAAUGAUUUAAUUUAGAAUUUUGAUCCUGGGGAAGCAAGCCAAAGACGGAAAACAGUUUUGAAACAGUUGAUCAAAACAGGAUCAUGGGUCACUGUAAAUUAAUAGCCAUGCAUUUAACCAGAGUGAUAAACAACUUCAAAAGCAAUACAGAAAGUUAUAUGGAUUUUUAAAAACCUUAACACUUUCAAAGCUCAGUUUUCCUAAGUAAUCAGAAACCUAGUAAAGACAACACAGAAAGUUAUCUUGAUAAAACAUAAGUUCUCUCUCCCUCUCUUUUUUUUCUUUAGGUCAGUGCCCAAAAAGGUAAAGAAAACCUCAUGCAGUGUGCUUGCUUCUCCUCAUGGGCAGCCCAUUUGGAUACCCUGGAAAUUGAACCUAAUUUAAAAGCUUAUGGCCAAGUAAAGGAUCCUGACUCUAGCUCUGGAUACAGUAUUUGGCUCAUUCUGGGAACCUGACUUUGAUAAGAAGAUGAAGAACUUUGUGAAUUGAAGUAAAUCACGUGAGAAUCACUGACCUGACCUAAGAAAAGUUUGGAUUUCUGUGAAACAGUAUUCUACCACUCCUAAAGAAAUAUGCAUUUGGCUGCAGUUUUCCACUUUUCACAUAGGGGAGUGAGCUUUCUCUUGUUUGAACAACCAUCAAGAACUGGGAUAUUAUCUCAUUUCAGGUGAAAAUAGUAUUCAUGUAUGCUUAUCACAAAUUCAGUAUUCAGGGUUCAGUAUUUGCACAGAGGAAAAGUAAGCAUAAGUUUUAGAUGAAAGACAUAAAUUUUAUUAUUUAUUUUUAACUUCAAAAAUAUUAUUUUCUAUGCACAUAUGGACCUAUAAAAGAGAUCAAGAAAUUAAUACAUGUAUAUAAUACAUUUAUAACUGCUAGACCUUUAUUUGAGUCUGAUCAUGUUACUCAGUGAGAAACUUUUUUUUCUAAGUCUUAAUAAGAUGUCUUACACUAUAUUUUUAUUUAUAUUGCUUUGGCUUGUGAUUAAUUGCUUUGCUAUUCAAUACUGGCAAAAUUUUUUAUACAGUAAAUAACAUUAAUUAAAAUAAAUUUAUAACUUAUUUAAAUAAAUCUAUCAAGAUGACCUUUCACAAAUUCAAUUCCUUUUGGUUUAAGACAGUUAUUUAAGGGAAAUGUAUUAUGUUUGUCUUAAGAAUUUUUUAAAUUUAUGAAAAAGAAGGAAAGAUUAAUUUCAAGAAAGGUUAUCCAGUCUUGGAGCUACCUGAUUAUAUUCAAGACAGAUUGGCUUAAAAAAUUUGUUAGCUUUAAAUAGCAGAAAUAACUACUCUUGCAUGUAUCAUAUACCAUGUCCCAUACCUCAUCAGCAUGUCUUAUACUAUAAAUAAAACUUUGAAGUCUAUUUGGAUAAGAUUUUUUGAAAAUCAGGUAGGAAUUUAUUAAAAGGAAAAACUGAGAUCUUCUCACCUACAUUACUGACUUGCAGUAGAGGGGUUAUUCUUUG